GACGAACGCUGGCGGCGUGCUUAACACAUGCAAGUCGAACGGAAAGGCCCCUUUGGGGGUCCUCGAGUGGCGAACGGGUGAGUAACACGUGAGUAACCUGCCCUUGACUUCGGGAUAACUUCAGGAAACUGGGGCUAAUACCGGAUAGGAAUCCUUGCUGCAUGGUGGGGGUUGGAAAGCUUCGGCGGUUUUGGAUGGACUCGCGGCUUAUCAGCUUGUUGGUGGGGUAGUGGCUUACCAAGGCUUUGACGGGUAGCCGGCCUGAGAGGGCGACCGGCCACAUUGGGACUGAGAUACGGCCCAGACUCCGACGGGAGGCAGCAGUGGGGAAGAUUGCACAAUGGGCGGAAGCCUGAUGCAGCAACGCCGCGUGCGGGAUGACGGCCUUCGGGUUGUAAACCGCUUUCAGCAGGGGCGAAGCUUGUGGUGACGGUACCUGCAGAAGAAGCACCGGCUAACUACGUG
rnacentral:rRNA from 1 species